rnacentral:rRNA from 1 species
AUGCAACAGGGAGCACGGCUCGACUGCUGCGUGGCCGGCCACCGCUACCGGCAGUUCAAGUGCUCGCCCCUUAUGUCGGCCGAGACGCCGGCCAUCCUGACCCUGAACAGUUUCGCGUCGGGCGGGGACGGUGGCGGCAAGUCCUUCUGCGACAACCGUUUCCACAAGGACAGCGAGCUGGUGGUGGCGCUGUCCACCGGGUGGCUGCGCCUCGACGGCACACGCAGGUGCAACAAGAUGAUCCGCAUUACGGAAACGGGCAGUCCGCUGGCCAAGGUCGUCGACGAGUACGAUUCGGUGAACAACUGCGAUGCGGAGCACAACUUCGAGCCGCCGUGUCCCAACAACGCCGUGGACGGGUCGCUGGCCGUGUGGAAGGCAUUGAGGCUCAACGAGGACAUUGGAGAGUUCAAGGUCACUUGGUCUGAUGUGUGA